AGAGUUUGAUCCUGGCUCAGAACGAACGCUGGCGGCAGGCCUAACACAUGCAAGUCGAGCGCCCGCAAGGGAGCGGCAGACGGGUGAGUAACGCGUGGGAACGUGCCCUUUGGUUCGGAAUAUUCCCGGGAAACUGGGAGCAAAACCGGAUAAGCCCUUCGGGGGAAAGUUUACGCCAAAGGAUCGGCCCGCGUUAGAUUAGGUAGUUGGUGGGGUAACGGCCUACCAAGCCUACGAUCUAUAGCUGAUCUGAGAGGAUGAUCAGCCACACUGGGACUGAGACACGGCCCAGACUCCUACGGGAGGCAGCAGUGGGGAAUCUUGGACAAUGGGCGCAAGCCUGAUCCAGCCAUGCCGCGUGGAUGACUGAAGGCCCUAGGGUUGUAAAGUCCUUUCGACGGGGACGAUAAUGACGGUACCCGUAGAAGAAGCCCCGGCUAACUUCGUGCCAGCAGCCGCGGUAAUACGAAGGGGGCUAGCGUUGUUCGGAUUUACUGGGCGUAAAGGGCGCGUAGGCGGAUUUUUAAGUCGGGGGUGAAAUCCCGGAGCUCAACUCCGGAACUGCCUUCGAUACUGAAAGUCUGGAGCACGGUAGAGGUGAGUGGAAUUCCGAGUGUAGAGGUGAAAUUCGUAGAUAUUCGGAGGAACACCAGUGGCGAAGGCGGCUCACUGGACCGUUGCUGACGCUGAGGCGCGAAAGCGUGGGGAGCAAACAGGAUUAGAUACCCCGGUAGU
rnacentral:rRNA from 1 species